rnacentral:misc_RNA from 1 species
GAACGCAUAUUGCGCUCUUUGGUAUUCCGAAGAGCAUGCUUGUUUGAGUAUCAGUAAACACCUCAAAGACAUUUCUGAUUUAUUUUCUGGAAUGGCUUUGGACUUGAGCAAUCCCAACACCAGUCGUUUACGAUCGGCGGAGGGUUGCUUGAAAUGCAGGUGCAGCUGGACAUUCUCCUGAGCUAUAAGCAUAUCUAUUUAGUCCCGUCAAACGGAUUAUUACUUUUGCUGCAGCUAACAUAAAGGGAGUCUGACCGUAUUGGCUGACUGAUGCAGGAUUUCACAAGGGUUGGAAACGACUCUUGUAAAACUCGAUCUCAAAUCAAGUAAGACUACCCGCUGAACUUA